UGAGCAAUCUGCCCUUCUCAUCGGAAUAAGCGUUGGAAACGACGUCUAAUGCCGAAUACGACCUCCUUUCGCAUGAUCGGAGGUGGAAAGCUCCGGCGGAGAAGGAUGAGCUCGCGGCCUAUCAGCUAGUUGGUGUGGGUAAAGGCCCACCAAGGCGACGACGGGUAGCCGGCCUGAGAGGGUGACCGGCCACACUGGGACUGAGACACGGCCCAGACUCCUACGGGAGGNAG
rnacentral:rRNA from 1 species